ensembl:lincRNA
UCAACCAUGGCAGGGUUGAUUUAUUCCCAUCAUCAUAGUCCCAUUAACCUGCUACUGUCUCCUGUAUAGGAAAUACCAUCCUGAUUCUCAGAUACUGAUUCUGUUUUAAGAAGUCAUAUCCCUGUGUCAGUCUUGAUGUACGACAUCAUCGGUAAGGAUGGUAAUGUGAUUGAGACUUUAUUAUCUGAAGACAUUAGGAAGAAGUUCCUUGCUUCUGAAGCUACUGCUGCUCUUUUAAGACAUCAUAUCCAAGACUCAGUCCUCAAGUGCUACAUCAUCUUCAAGGAAAACAAUCCAUUUCCGAUUUUAGUAUCUGACAGACUGUCACUUGGGAUGUCAGGCCAUUUUCUGUCCCUGAGCCAUACAUGUUGGGAAUUACUAUGGCUAUGUUUGUUUUCCAUAACAACACAUGGAGUUUCUGAAAACAUCAAGAAAUAAUAUUUGCAGUGGGAACCCUACCUGUUAUCUCAGGCAUUGGUGUACAUAAAGUAUAGCACAGAAAAUUUAAUUGGUAUCAUGUUGUUGUUACAUUUACCCUCUAACAGGUUUAAGUUUGCAAUAUUUCUUUGCAUUUCCAUUGUCAUUUGGCAUAUACAAGCCCUUGUACUUUAAUCUUUCAUUCCUUUUCAAUGCCCUCCUUUCUAUAAUGUCACAUGAAUCAUGGAUUUUAUUGGAAAUCAAUUAUUUACUUAUGGUGAAGAAGGGGCAUUACAUACUUCCCACAAAAAUAAUUAACACUCCAGAUUUGUUUGUUCUUGGUUCUGGUGUUUGUCUAUAUUGUAAUCCUGUUCAUACCUUGUGACUGCUAAGUUAUUCUCCUACGUCCUAUGUCUGACUGUAAAGUAGAGCUGAAAAAAUUGUUACUAUGAGGUCAUUCACUUUGUAUGAACAUGUCAUAAUUUUUUGGUUUUAAGUCUAAUAUAAUCCUUUUUGCUUUAGUUGAGGGCCUUGGUGACAAUGGGUAACAUUGUAACAGAUUACCCCAAAGCUUUUGAGGCCCUAUGGAUUCAUACUAAUUGCACAUCUCUCUUUUGUUUCCCAUUUGGUGAAUGAAGAAUUUGGUUAGGGACUGUAGAUGUUAGAUCUUUGAUCUAUGGGGAUUUCAAUAUCUCAUUAAUACUUGUUUUAUUUUUAUAUCCCCCAACAAAAUGAUAUAAACAGUUUACCAUAGGUCUGUGACCAUUCUAAUCCAAGUACAUUUUGGCAGAGUGAGAUAUUUUUCAUAUCUUGAAAUCAAUAAUUGAUAACCCCCAUGAAAUUUAUUCUCCUGUGACAACACUUUGUCUGAGGACUGCCUACAAUUUUCUGGUUUAAUGUCAUGCAGAUUAUUAGAAUGAGGAGAUAUUUUCCUCCUCUAGUCACAGACAGAUAUUCCUUUCACACCUAUCACAUGUAGUCUGUCCCAAUAAUUUUCUAACUAGGCACAAGAUGGAAUCUUAUUCUAUGUUGAAUAAGUAUGUUGGGAUUUCAGAAAUUGAUUCAUACCAGCAAUAUUGGGCUAUAACCAUGGAAUGGAAAGGUCCUGUGUGGCGCUACUGGGUGGUUAUAUGAAACCCUUGGCAAACUAGCAAACUAAAUAAAACAAUACUGGCAAUGAGAGAAAUGUCUCUCAAAUACCCUCAUGGUAUAAGAUGGGCAGUUGUUAUACUAUCCAUCCAAAUAUAUUUGAAUAUAUUUCUAUUAAUUUCAUUUGUGUAUAUAUGUAUAUAUGUGUAUAUGUGUGUGUGUGUUAC